GUCCUAUAAAGAUGCAUCAACGCUAGAUAGUUGAGCAUUUCCCUGUAGGAUGAAGUUUAUUAGAAACUCUGGUAACAAUUUUCAUUGUGUGGCUAAAGUCGAAAUGGAAUGAGUCAGAGUGGAAUAGGUUAACCGUAAGACCUUGAGUUGAAAAACUCUAAAAUUGAGCUAGAGAUGUGGAUUUCUGAAAUUUCGCAUUUUCUAGUUACGGUUUU
rnacentral:ncRNA from 1 species